CAGGUGGGGCCUGGGCUGACUCCUCUGUGCUGCCUGGAGGCGGACGGAGCUGCAAAGCCGCGACAUUUCCAAUAGUAAACACAUCCACAGCGCGCUCCUUCAUGUGCCUUCCUGCCUUCUCUUUGUGUUUGGUCUCCGUCUCCCGGGAGCGGGGAAUGCAGCGUGUCUGAUAGACGCCAACCCCGCACAACGGAGCAGAACGCGGCUUCCUCCGGAUCAGAUGGCGCUGCGAUCGCAGGACGUUGAAGCGGCGAAGCGAGGAGGAAGGAGAUCGAUGGGCGGCCAUCUGGAGAGACCUGCAGCGGCGUCUCGGCCUGCAGCGAUGGAUGCGUGAUCUGCAGAGCGCCGUCCGUCCGUCCGUCCGCGUGCAGCACAGCGGGGGGUCCACGCGCCGUGGCCGCUCCGCUUCGCCCCAUCCCAGGGGCACCCCGCACCCCGUCAGCCCCGCACGCACAGCUGCUCGGAGGGCACCGGGACGCGCAGGCACUGCCAGCCGAACCGCGCCGCGAUGUCGCCGCUGGGUGAGCUGCGGGAAGGCCCCGCGUGUCCCUUUGGCCAGGCCGGGCUGCCCGCAGGGAGCGCUGAGUCCGCGCGUCCCCUGCCCUGAGCCGGCCCAGCACCGGCUGCGUCCCUGGGAUGCUCAGCCCUGAGCGCAGCGCUGCAGCCGAGCUGCUCCGAGCCAGCGGGGCGUAUUUCGGGAGGAAGUUCUCAUCUCUGAAGGUGCCCUUGAGCAGAUGAGUGAGAAAGUGAUGAACGGGCGGGUGCCCCUGCCUGAAAAAGCCUUGUCCGAGGGCUACGCGCGGCUGCGGUACCGGGACACGUCGCUGCUCAUCUGGCAGCAGCAGCAGCAGAAGUUGGAGUCGGCCCCCCCCAACACGUACCUGAGCCGAAGCCGCAGCAUGUGGUACUCACAGUACGGCAAUGAGGCCAUCCUGGUGCGGGACAAGAACAAGCUGGACGUCUCCAGGGACACGGGGCAGUCCAAGUUCUGUGCUAUCAUGUAAUAUUGUGUCCCAAAUCUGCACGUGGACACGAAGCAGGCUUGCACCAUCCCAACCGCAGGGCUGCGGCCAAAGCGGCGCACGGGAUGGGUCUGAGCGGCUGCUGGAGGUUCCUACUGCUUUGUGCUGUCGGUGGCAUCCCAUGUUGGGUGUUGUCGAGUGCGUGCAAUGGAAACUGGCUUGCUCGGGAUGUGGGAGCUGGCAGCGUCCAACUGGACCACGUGUUGCUGGGAUGGCUGUAGCAGAACUCCUGCCUGGGACAGAGAGCGUUGAGAACUCAUCUCAGCCUUCAGAGCACUUAGCAGGAAAGGAGCACUGCAGUUUCCCAGCAAAGUGCCCUUUCUGGUGCCGGUUUGGUGUUACGGAAACAAUUGACAGGUGGCACUUUUGGAGCCAAUGCAGCAGAGCCCCUCCGUAAGAAGAAAGCAGCACACAGCUCCUGGAGGGCACUCGGUGGGUGCUGCCUGCGGGCAGAGGUUGGCUGCAGGAGGAAGCAGCCUGCUGAGGGUUGCUCGGCGUUUCAGUUUUGUUGCAUGUGGUCGCUUGGAUGGAUUUAUGUGCUAAUUCUGGUUGGAUGACAUCUCAUUUGGUGCGCGCAUACUGUGUUUGACAGUGUUUGUUUCAGCCGAUGGAAUGCAAGGUCAGGCUGAGAACCCAGCCCAGCAAGCACCCAAACCUUUCUUAAGUACAAAGCAGCACCAUUUGCAGGGCUGUUAAUUGCGUGCCCAGCACUGCAGUGUAACACUGGGCUGAAGGCACAGCCCUGCCUGGACACCCCACCCAGCAGUGCUGGGACACGGGCUCAGCUCCAGGCAAUCCAGGACCUGGUGUUGACCUCAAGGUGGAUCAUUUACCCGCCUGAAGUCGGGCAUUCUGUUGUAUUUAUCCCAAACCUCUCCCUUUAAACAUCGUUCAAGCACUUUAUUUUAACACGGUGAAGAAGAACCUUCUCCCCCUCUCCCACGUGCGCUGAUUGCCAGAGCACAAAGGCACCGAGCAGCACACACCUGUGUUACCCUGAGACCACACCGAGGGGAUGCACUGCAAACCACGGGCAGCUGUUUGUAAUGUAACUAUUAAUGCAUGUGUGCGUGUUUGGUGCUGUGUGUGUGUGUGUGUGUGCUCGUAAAGCUAAACCUGCUGAGAUGGACCUCCGUGCUUCCCCCACCCGCGUGUCGCUCUGUGCAGAUGCUCCUCUUGAGCUCGACAGGACGAGCUGGGAAAUGUUAUGAUGCCGUUUGCUCAACCUGGGAAGCAGCACUCAGCACACGAGCUGGACUCAGGGAGCUGCCGGGUUGGGCAGAGCAGUGGGUGCUCCUAGCAGGGGGCUCACACAGUGCCCACGGAGCGCUGACUGCAGCCUGAGGAUGAGGGAGGGCAGCAGCACGUCCCCACCGCCCGCUGUUCCUUUUCUUUACUUUUCUUAUAGAAAAAGAAAAACCCACAUAGAUUUAUUUUUUUAAUUUGGGUAAGAAAGAUGGCGACGACCUCGGGUGUAAUCGGCCCCUUUUUGUUCACGUGGCUGCUAACCAAAAUUCAGUUGGAAGAGCUAUUGAGGAAUGGAAACUGAAGUGUGUGCCUGCGUCCUUCCAGGGUACGACAGCAUGGAGCGGUGUGACUCGUCCUUCCCCUCCAUCCCUGAGCGUGAGUGCAUUUUCCAUAGCCGAGUCCCCAUUAGUCACAGUAGCUUCGUGGAGUGGCUGCUAUGAAGUGAGCGUUGCUGCAAGCAGUGGUGUUAGAUGCACUUGUUGAAAAUGCUGCUGUAGCCUCUUGGAUAAAGUGCAUUAAAAGUGAUUUGAAUGCG